GUACCAGCAAUAUGGGACUGAGCAGAGUAAAAAAAGUCCAAUCGUUCGGCACCAGGACCGCACAUCCAGGAUAAUUGCUAUUCAAAAAGGUGAAAAAGGUGAAAGAGUGAUCACGAAGAAAAGAAUGGAAUCAGUAAGUUUGGUUUCAGUUGUAAGUAUCAGUUACUGCGAUUGUGGAACUUUCUCCUUUUCGUCUUGCUGCGUUUUACAGAAAUGGAAACGAUUGCCUACGAUGCGGAGUGGAUUCAUCAUUUGCUCAUCGUUGCCAACUAUGUGCGGAGGCGUCAGAAUGAACAGAGACGGGUUCGAUGAAGAUGGUGGAUGCGGCCAAUCUUCUUUCGUCGGGAAGAAGACGGCAACGUUCUGCUCAACGCCAUAAUAGAAGAGCAGAUCAACGACACAAUCAUUAGGUUCCUCAGAAUGAGAAUGAUUGAUUUUAACUUUUUGGAAUCGUUGGUCCUCCACAGGAUACAACGUAUGGAUACAAACAUGCAGCGAGCCGUAACUGCUCGCGAAAGGUUGCUCAUAACGCUACGCUUCUUAGCAACGGGAGAAAGCUAUUCCAGUUUGCAGUUUUUGUUUCGGCUGUCUAGACAAACAAUCGGGAACAUCGUGCCAGAUGUAUGUAACGCAUUAACGGAAGCGCUGCACGAUUACGUAAAGGUAAGAACUUCAAACGUUGUUAACACAAAGGAAGUGAUUGGUGCUAGUGAUCUUGUGUUUAUUGCGAAAUGCCUUGCUUAAUUCGAAAAUAAACAAUCCAAUGGUUUGAAUAAAGGAACGAUAGAUCUCCUAUUGCUUGUAUUAACUUAUGCCUACUGCUCGUUGCCUACAUCGUUGUUUCACUGAGUUCGUUAAUCUCCGUUUCGAUACUUUACAUUGCAUCGUACAGUCUUACGGAAGCCAAUGUUGAGUAUCGAUUGUUGAUUUUAUCCAUCCAGUUUGCUACAUCGU